GCCUGAAUCAGUGUGUGUGUUAGUGGAAGCGUCUGGAAAGGCGCGCGAUACAGGGUGACAGCCCCGUACACAAAAAUGCACAUACUGUGAGCUCGAUGAGUAGGGCGGGACACGUGGUAUCCUGUCUGAAUAUGGGGGGACCAUCCUCCAAGGCUAAAUACUCCUGACUGACCGAUAGUGAACCAGUACCGUGAGGGAAAGGCGAAAAGAACCCCGGCGAGGGGAGUGAAAAAGAACCUGAAACCGUGUACGUACAAGCAGUGGGAGCCUCUUUAUGGGGUGACUGCGUACCUUUUGUAUAAUGGGUCAGCGACUUAUAUUCUGUAGCAAGGUUAACCGAAUAGGGGAGCCGAAGGGAAACCGAGUCUUAACUGGGCGUUAAGUUGCAGGGUAUAGACCCGAAACCCGGUGAUCUAGCCAUGGGCAGGUUGAAGGUUGGGUAACACUAACUGGAGGACCGAACCGACUAAUGUUGAAAAAUUAGCGGAUGACUUGUGGCUGGGGGUGAAAGGCCAAUCAAACCGGGAGAUAGCUGGUUCUCCCCGAAAGCUAUUUAGGUAGCGCCUCGUGAAUUCAUCUCCGGGGGUAGAGCACUGUUUCGGCAAGGGGGUCAUCCCGACUUACCAACCCGAUGCAAACUGCGAAUACCGGAGAAUGUUAUCACGGGAGACACACGGCGGGUGCUAACGUCCGUCGUGAAGAGGGAAACAACCCAGACCGCCAGCUAAGGUCCCAAAGUCAUGGUUAAGUGGGAAACGAUGUGGGAAGGCCCAGACAGCCAGGAUGUUGGCUUAGAAGCAGCCAUCAUUUAAAGAAAGCGUAAUAGCUCACUGGUCGAGUCGGCCUGCGCGGAAGAUGUAACGGGGCUAAACCAUGCACCGAAGCUGCGGCAGCGACACUAUGUGUUGUUGGGUAGGGGAGCGUUCUGUAAGCCUGUGAAGGUGUACUGUGAGGUAUGCUGGAGGUAUCAGAAGUGCGAAUGCUGACAUAAGUAACGAUAAAGCGGGUGAAAAGCCCGCUCGCCGGAAGACCAAGGGUUCCUGUCCAACGUUAAUCGGGGCAGGGUGAGUCGACCCCUAAGGCGAGGCCGAAAGGCGUAGUCGAUGGGAAACAGGUUAAUAUUCCUGUACUUGGUGUUACUGCGAAGGGGGGACGGAGAAGGCUAUGUUGGCCGGGCGACGGUUGUCCCGGUUUAAGCGUGUAGGCUGGUUUUCCAGGCAAAUCCGGAAAAUCAAGGCUGAGGCGUGAUGACGAGGCACUACGGUGCUGAAGCAACAAAUGCCCUGCUUCCAGGAAAAGCCUCUAAGCAUCAGGUAACAUCAAAUCGUACCCCAAACCGACACAGGUGGUCAGGUAGAGAAUACCAAGGCGCUUGAGAGAACUCGGGUGAAGGAACUAGGCAAAAUGGUGCCGUAACUUCGGGAGAAGGCACGCUGAUAUGUAGGUGAAGCGACUUGCUCGUGGAGCUGAAAUCAGUCGAAGAUACCAGCUGGCUGCAACUGUUUAUUAAAAACACAGCACUGUGCAAACACGAAAGUGGACGUAUACGGUGUGACGCCUGCCCGGUGCCGGAAGGUUAAUUGAUGGGGUCAGCGCAAACGCGAAGCUCUUGAUCGAAGCCCCGGUAAACGGCGGCCGUAACUAUAACGGUCCUAAGGUAGCGAAAUUCCUUGUCGGGUAAGUUCCGACCUGCACGAAUGGCGUAAUGAUGGCCAGGCUGUCUCCACCCGAGACUCAGUGAAAUUGAACUCGCUGUGAAGAUGCAGUGUACCCGCGGCAAGACGGAAAGACCCCGUGAACCUUUACUAUAGCUUGACACUGAACAUUGAGCCUUGAUGUGUAGGAUAGGUGGGAGGCUUUGAAGUGUGGACGCCAGUCUGCAUGGAGCCGGCCUUGAAAUACCACCCUUUAAUGUUUGAUGUUCUAACGUUGGCCCCUGACCGGGGUUGCGGACAGUGUCUGGUGGGUAGUUUGACUGGGGCGGUCUCCUCCUAAAGAGUAACGGAGGAGCACGAAGGUUGGCUAAUCCUGGUCGGACAUCAGGAGGUUAGUGCAAUGGCAUAAGCCAGCUUGACUGCGAGCGUGACGGCGCGAGCAGGUGCGAAAGCAGGUCAUAGUGAUCCGGUGGUUCUGAAUGGAAGGGCCAUCGCUCAACGGAUAAAAGGUACUCCGGGGAUAACAGGCUGAUACCGCCCAAGAGUUCAUAUCGACGGCGGUGUUUGGCACCUCGAUGUCGGCUCAUCACAUCCUGGGGCUGAAGUAGGUCCCAAGGGUAUGGCUGUUCGCCAUUUAAAGUGGUACGCGAGCUGGGUUUAGAACGUCGUGAGACAGUUCGGUCCCUAUCUGCCGUGGGCGCUGGAGAACUGAGGGGGGCUGCUCCUAGUACGAGAGGACCGGAGUGGACGCAUCACUGGUGUUCGGGUUGUCAUGCCAAUGGCACUGCCCGGUAGCUAAAUGCGGAAGAGAUAAGUGCUGAAAGCAUCUAAGCACGAAACUUGCCCCGAGAUGAGUUCUCCCUGACUCCUUGA
rnacentral:rRNA from 1 species